UACCCGCGCCACAAGUGGUGACCACUAUUAUUGGGUUUAAAGCAUCCGUAGCCGGCUCAGCAAGUCUCUGAUUAAAUCUCCUAUUAACUGGGAGGCUGUUAGAGAUACUAUUGAGCUAGGAACCAGGAGAGGUCUGGGGUACUUUUGGGGUAGGGGUGAAAUCCGUUGAUCCUAAAGGGACCACCAAUGGCGAAGGCACCAGACUAGAAUGGCUUCGACGGUGAGGGAUGAAAGCUAGGGGAGCG
rnacentral:rRNA from 1 species